GCUACCUCGCAGGGAUGUUGUGAGGCUUAAUUAUUGUUGGUGAAGCUCUUUGAGAUCCUACAAUGAGAACACCUAACUGUCACAGGUAAACACUGCCGAUGCAUCAGCACCAUAGACAGACAGCUGAGCAGAGGGGCUAAUUCAUCUGAAGAAGGCUGGCUCAGCCCUUUUCAGUCAGUGCUUGUGCAAGUCAAAGCAGCAUUAUUUGCACAGGCAGGGCAGGGUGCUGGAACAGCCUGGCUGCAGCCAUACAGAAAACCCCUCUCCUUGGAGCUGUCAGCGCCCCCUGGACGGACCCAGCUGGGGCUGUUGGCCAGCGAAGCCCCCCUAGCCGCGAGCCUGGCUGUAAAGCAGCCCGCCCCAUUUCGGCAGUGAGGACGAGAGUAAACAACCCUCUGCAAAGGCGGGGAGGGGAGCGCGGAAAAUCAGGUGCCUUCACGCCGGGUAUUUUCCCCCACGGCACGGAUUUUCCCAGCCCCAGCGCUGGCGCAAGCACUGGACCCCUGCCCACCCUUGACUCACGGCUCGCCCAGGGAUUCCCCAGCCUCCGGGCUCUCUGCUAUAAAGCGCCUGGCAGAGACACCAGCGGCGCCCCGGCCCGGGCGCUGAGUCACGCCGGGGGGCGGCUGCAGGUGAGGGGAGGAGGAGGUGGGGGGGGGGUUCACUGAGCCCUUCCUCACUCACUGGUACCAUCAAAUCUAUUCCACUGCCCGCGGGCCAGCUGCAGAUCUGCCGCUGACCAGGGUGCAAUCGGCUGCACAGAGACGCUCGCCCAGGAUCUCGGCCCCAGAGACUGGAGCUGGUAGGAAAAUGGGGACCACACAGGCUCCCACCCAGAGAGCUCCACCUUCCAAAGCAGAGCAGGUUCUCUGCACCCCGCGCGGCUCGCCCGGGGGACCCGCCAGCCCCACUGCGUGGUGGAGAGGGGCUGCUGUCCCCUCGCCUACUCGCCAGGCAGCGACCUCCGCCCUGCAGCUGCAAGCUGCAAAAUCCCCUCCCUGACCUCUCCUUCCUCGCAGCUGCUGGUCCUGGGGCUCGCGCAGGCGUGUCACUCCUCAAUGGCUUCAGAGUAGCAGCCGCGUGACCCUGCUGGCCUCCUGCGGCUAGUGCCAAUUCCCGGAAGAUUCUCCGUUUCAUUCACGGCGCGCCCUUUGCAAGAAACCGAAACUCCAGCCUGCCGGGGAGAGGCAGCCCUGCCCAGAAGGGAGGGAGAAAGACGCUUGGUUGGCGGGGCCGGUUGUAUCUCGCCCCGCCUUUACCCACAGAGUGAACCCACAGCUCGUGACCUCUGCAAGGUUUAAUAAAUCGCCAGAGUUUCUACAAAACCAGCAAAGAAAGAGGAACGAAGAACUGGCCCCUUGUAGGGCAGCCAAAGUCAGGACCCCUAGAGCUAAAGCCCGGCACUGGGACUAGUUUAGUAGCAGGUCCCAGGCCUGACAAAGAAGCAUGGAGAAAGAGGCUUUAUCUAGGCUCAUUUACAGAGGACAGACACUGGAACCCUAGGUAGAGUCUGAAUUUAUUUAUAGCAGCAUGGGCUUGUCUACUCUUCAAACACUACAGCAGGAUAGCAGCACACUGUACAUAAGAACAUAACACAAAAAUGGCCCUACUGGGUCAGA